rnacentral:lncRNA from 1 species
UUUGCAAAUGAACCAGGUAACAUCAGGGUUCCAUACUCCACUUCCAUUCAUCACAAAAUGGGUUAACUCCUGUUGGUGAUGAAGUCAUAGGUCCAAGAUAUAUUGUUACUUUCAUGUCUAAUGUUUAACACAUGGUAAUAACAUUUGCCUCAAGUUGGGUGGAGCAGUCAUUUGUCUACACAGGCCUGUUCUGCCUGAAAAGCUGUUGGGAAACAGGAUUCAUUUGUCUGGGGUUGUAAUGGGAGAGGUUCAGGGAAGGUCCAUUUCCCCCCAGGGACUGAUUAGAGUCAUGUUCUAACAUGUCCUAUCUGAUGACAAUGUGAAUCUUGGGGUUAAGUGUUGCCAGGAGUGUGAUCUUAGAUGUCUCCAGCAGGAAGAUGAGUUCAAAAUGUGGAAUGACAAAGACUGUGUCCUCCUUUGUCAACACCUUCCUAAUAAAGGUAGAGAGGGAGUGAGUACCUUUCCAAGCAUGGAGAGAAAUGGGAGAUGGUGGAAGCGUGAUGGCUUAAGAUCAGGGUCAGUCCAGAUGGUGUAAACUUGGGGCCACCACUGAUUCGACUGACACACAGGAAAUCUAGGAGCACUAGGUUUAUGAGCAAUACAGGGAUCACUUCUAGGAGGAUGGAGGGUGUGGUUAAAUAUAAGAAGCCCAUGAAAUACAGAGUCCUGUGUUUUACUGGAUGAAUCACAAUGCUUUGCAUUAAUUUAAUGCCAUAGUACUUCCUGGCUUAUAAUUCUGUAAGGUAAAGCACUUUCUCAAAGGAGUCUAUCGGAAAGCCACACGAUUUCAGCUGUUUGUUGAGCUUGAUAAAUGUUUCCAAAGAUAUAAUCAAAAUGUUUUUCUAUUGAUUAAAGAAGCAUAAAUAUUAAACCUAUCCAUAGAGACAUUUAAGUGUAAUUAAAAGAUUGUUAUGCUUUAAAGUGUACUCUAAUAAAUGAUAUAUAAUGCUCAUGAUGGCACUAUGAACUAGAAGACAUGGGUCAUCUACAUCAAUAAUAGGAAAAGUGGAUUAUAUGCCUUCUGGCUCAUUGUUCUAGUUUGUUUUGUUUGAUUUUUUUAUUACUUCAAGGUUUGGUCUCCUCAAGGCAAAAAUCCUGAUUUGCUUCAGUAAAAUUUUCUUGCUUUUGUUAUCU